AUACUAUUCCCUCCGUUUCAAAUUACUUGUCUUGGAUUUGUCUAGCACUAAAAUGAGUCUAGAUACAUCCGUAUCUAGACAAAUCUAGGACAAGUAAUUCAAAACGGAGGGAGUAUGUU
rfam:Triticum aestivum genome assembly, contig: Triticum_aestivum_CS42_TGACv1_scaffold_582147_7BL